rnacentral:rRNA from 1 species
GACGAACGCUGGCGGCGUGCCUAAUACAUGCAAGUCGAGCGGACAGACGGGAGCUUGCUCCCUGAUGUUAGCGGCGGACGGGUGAGUAACACGUGGGUAACCUGCCUGUAAGACUGGGAUAACUCCGGGAAACCGGGGCUAAUACCGGAUGGUUGUCUGAACCGCAUGGUUCAGACAUAAAAUGUGGCUUCGGCUACCACUUACAGAUGGACCCGCGGCGCAUUAGCUAGUUGGUGAGGUAACGGCUCACCAAGGCAACGAUGCGUAGCCGACCUGAGAGGGUGAUCGGCCACACUGGGACUGAGACACGGCCCAGACUCCUACGGGAGGCAGCAGUAGGGAAUCUUCCGCAAUGGACGAAAGUCUGACGGAGCAACGCCGCGUGAGUGAUGAAGGUUUUCGGAUCGUAAAGCUCUGUUGUUAGGGAAGAACAAGUGCCGUUCAAAUAGGGCGGCACCUUGACGGUACCUAACCAGAAAGCCACGGCUAACUACGUG